rnacentral:rRNA from 1 species
UACGGGGGGGGCAAGCGUUGUUCGGAAUUACUGGGCGUAAAGGGCUCGUAGGUGGCCAACUAAGUCAGACGUGAAAUCCCUCGGCUUAACCGGGGAACUGCGUCUGAUACUGGAUGGCUUGAGUUCGGGAGAGGGAUGCGGAAUUCCAGGUGUAGCGGUGAAAUGCGUAGAUAUCAGGAGGAACACCGGUGGUGUAGACGGCUCACUGGACCAUAACUGACGCUGAGACACGAAAGCGUGGGUAGCAAACAGG